CCCAGACUCAGACUGCACAGUCAUCUUCAACCCCCUCCUCUGCUCUAACCUACCACGUUCACCUCAUCCAGCUGCCCUGUUUGUAUGCAGCCUCUCCAGUCCAGCCCAACUCAUGUCUCCUCCAAAGAAUGCUUCCUGCAGAAAGGCACUUCUUCCUGUGGAUAUCCAUCAAGCCUCUUAUCUGUACCACUUGCUCAACACUCCAACUGCAGCGGGAAAUGGAAGGACAGAAACUGAAGCUGAGAGACAGCCAAGCUAGAUAAAGUGUACCCGGAGAAAGUUGCAAGGAUUGGAGGAUGCCGCUAAGAACAUCUUCCCAGUCUUCUCAGAAAAGCCACAGAAAUAUUCUCUAGUUGUAUACUCUAAUACCAUCUCAUCAAACUCCUGUGAGAAAAGAUUGUCUUUAAUUAAUGUAUCUGGACAAACAGUAUCAAAGAUAAAAAUAUAUGAUUCAUUUGCCCAAGACAACACUGCUGGACUUUCUGACCUCCUUCAGUGUCUUUUUCACUUACACAUAUCUUCAUUCUGGAAGUUUUGUCUGAAUUUUUAUUUCUUCAAGAACAAAUUGGAAUAACUUGAUGGAAAAACAAAAUUGUAUUUUUGACAUU